UGCCAGCCGCCGCGGUAAUACAGAGAGUGCGAGCGUUAAUCGGAAUUACUGGGCGUAAAGCGCGCGUAGGUGGGUAUUUAAGUCGGAUGUGAAAGCCCCAAGCUUAACUUGGGAACUGCAUUCGAUACUGGGUACCUAGAGUAUGGUAGAGGAAAGUGGAAUUUCCGGUGUAGCGGUGAAAUGCGUAGAUAUCGGAAAGAACAUCAGUGGCGAAGGCGGCUUUCUGGACCAAUACUGACACUGAGGCGCGAAAGCUAGGGUAGCGAACGGGAUUAGAUA
rnacentral:rRNA from 1 species